rnacentral:lncRNA from 1 species
GUUCCAGUGACAUCACAACAGCAGCUGCUCUAGCUUUGCUUGCAGAUGUGUGCAGAGCCCCUGAAUGUUUUCUACAGCUAAUGCCAAAAAAAUACUGGAAAAUUCUCCUCUGUCACUGGAAGCCUGUCUCACUGCGCUGGAAUGCCCUGUACAUGGAAAGCCCAAGACUGUGGGUUUAGAAGAGCCAAAACCCGCAGCCUCACAGAUCUGCCCCAAGAUCCCACACUACCUCUCUCCAACUCCUUACACUGGGGUGUACCCCAGCUGCUGAGGAGGUCUCUUUGUUGAGCUCCUGUAGCUCUGCAGGUUCUCUGCUGUAAAUAUACAGAACGCAGGGACUCGGAAAACAAGCUGAGAGUGCCCAAGGCUUGGAGGAAAUCUUGGGCUCCACCUUACAGGUGAGGGUGUCAUUUGAAAACUGAUGCACUUGCUGAAAGCCCCAAGUCUACACUGAAAUUCUGUGGAUGAAAAAUUGCUUUACUUAUCCCGUAUUAAUUGUCCCUUCUUAUCAGUGUGCUGCUGCAGUGCUCUGACAGCUCAAAGAAGCCUUUUGGUCCUGUGUCACACCCCUGGGAGCUUCCCUGUGCACAUCUGUGAACCACAGAGGUCAGGCCAUAAUGGGUGUAAAGAAAGACAGACCGAAAGAAAAGCAAGUUCCAAGAGAAGGUGGGAGAACUUAGAAGGUGGGAGGAGGAGGAAACCAAUGGGCCAAAAUGGGCAAGUCCCAUCAAAAAAGUGAGUUAUGAGGCAGAGACCGAACAGAUCAGAUGUGGACAGGCCACAGGAAGGCAGGCUUAGGAAAACAAAAAGAACAUAAGUGUUCCAAGGUUCGGAAGCAUCAUUCCACCCUCGUCCUCCUCUCACUUUUAAACCAGUCAAGGCCAGACUGCAAAGAGCAAGACCUGUGAGAUGUAACUUGCUGCUUCCAUUUUCUUUCUUUAGGAAAUCUCUUUUCUGUUUCAAGCCCCUGAAAGUCCUGAAGAGGAGAGAGGAGGCGACAGGCAAACAAUACUCAUGUUAUCAGUUCACACACUUUAACCCUCUGUGUUAUAGAAGAAAUUGGAUUAACUGUAUUCUCUCUGAGUUGACUUGGUUAGCAUUAGCAUGUCGGCACUAGGAGCUAAAGGAAUCGAAGAAUUAGCCCCGAAGAGCUGACCAAGAG